GAUGAAGAACGCAGCGAAAUGCGAUAAGUAAUGUGAAUUGCAGAAUUCAGUGAAUCAUCGAAUCUUUGAACGCACAUUGCGCCCGCCAGUAUUCUGGCGGGCAUGCCUGUCUGAGCGUCAUUUCAACCCUCAUGCCCCUAGGGCGUGGUGUUGGGGAUCGGCCAAAGCCCGCGAGGGACGGCCGGCCCCUAAAUCUAGUGGCGGACCCGUCGUGGCCUCCUCUGCGAAGUAGUGAUAUUCCGCAUCGGAGAGCGACGAGCCCCUGCCGUUAAACCCCCAACUUUCCAAGGUUGACCUCAGAUCAGGUAGGAAUACCCGCAGAACUUAAGCAUAUCAAUAAGCGGAGGA
rnacentral:misc_RNA from 1 species